GGACGACGCUGGCGGCGUGCUUAACACAUGCAAGUCGAACGGAAAGGCCCUGCUUUUGUGGGGUGCUCGAGUGGCGAACGGGUGAGUUAACACGUGAGUAACCUGCCCUUGACUUUGGGAUAACUUCAGGAAACUGGGGCUAAUACCGGAUAGGAGCUCCUGCUGCAUGGUGGGGGUUGGAAAGUUUCGGCGGUUGGGGAUGGACUCGCGGCUUAUCAGCUUGUUGGUGGGGUAGUGGCUUACCAAGGCUUUGACGGGUAGCCGGCCUGAGAGGGUGACCGGCCACAUUGGGACUGAGAUACGGCCCAGACUCCUACGGGAGGCAGCAGUGGGGAAUAUUGCACAAUGGGCGGAAGCCUGAUGCAGCAACGCCGCGUGCGGGAUGACGGCCUUCGGGUUGUAAACCGCUUUCGCCUGUGACGAAGCGUGAGUGACGGUAAUGGGUAAAGAAGCACCGGCUAACUACGUG
rnacentral:rRNA from 1 species